UAUUAGUCUAUUAGUUGUUAGUUUGUUAUACAAGCAGUUAUGCUGUUAAGUGAGAUUGUUAGCAGCAGUUACUCAUACACAUUUUAUAAAUACUAUAGUUGUACUGGUUAAAUUCAAGAUAAUAAUACAAAAAUCAUUCUCUGCAUAUUCUAUUUUUCUUUCAAGUUUUUGUAGAUAUUAACAUGGUAAACGUCGGACAACAAUGAUUGACAGAGGCAGCAACAUAUUCACUUGAUUAUUGAAGGUUAUGAAUUGACUGGUUUUUUUUGGAGGGAACGUUACCUGUUCUGCCGCAUUUUGUGCCGUCUUCGGAGGGAUCUCUAGUUCCAAAUCCGGAUGCCUCAGCAUUAGUUCAGCAGGACAGGUUACUUGCCUCUUUCUGGUUAUUUUCUACUAUUAGUCCUUCACUGUUGUCUUCUUUUACAUAUGCUAGGAUGGCGUGCGAUGUUUGGAACACUGCCACUUGCCUUUUCACUGCCGUCACAGGUGUCAAGUUAUCUUGCAUUCGCCAUGAUUUACAUUCGCUUAAGAAAGGUAAUCUGUCGAUAAAGGAGUAUGUAGUAAAGAUUCAGAAUACCUGUGCUUUAAUCGAGGCUUGUCGAUCUUGGAUCUCGGAGAAAGAGAAAGUGGAGAUCGUACUUGUGGGCCUACCACCGGAGUUCAACGCCAUGCUCACCUUAGUGUCAUUCUUGUCGGAAGCCUUACCGUUACAACACCUCAUAGAUGAGUUGUUGGAGUAUGGAAGUCGCUAAAUUCGCGUGGUUCAGGAGGUGCCAUUUCAUGCUAACCUUUUGGAGACUAUUCCGUCACCGCCGGUGGAGGACUCUGUGUGUGGUGGCCGUCCCCUACUGGUGGUUGUGGGAAGAGGUUUUGAUCCAAACUCCAAUGUUAGAUCUGUGGUCAGUUUGGGCAUUUAGCUCAACAUUUUUAAUAUUGUCAUAAUCGCGACUAUAGUGGUCUGACAUUAGUGGCCUGGGCUUCAAAUUCGACCGAUCGUACUAGGCAGGGUUCGGAUGCUGGUUUCUCGUUUCUAUCGCCCGUCUCUAGUCAGUUUGGUGGCCUUUCGUAGACGGCGUCGUCACGAUUUCUUUCUGGUAAAUGGUAGGGUG
rnacentral:lncRNA from 1 species